CUUUCACAGUAUUUUCUGGAACUCUGGAAUCUAGAUGGCAGAAAAGAAGCUUGCAGGACAGAUCCAGUUUUAAUCAUCAAAGUCUUGUUUCUCAAGUGUCUUCAGCAAGAGAGACCACCCUCAAGACUGAGAGCUGAAUAAAAUUCUACUAUGUGUAUCUACAACCCUUCUACUUUCCAUUCCUUAAUUGAUGGAUGAUCAGGCUGAUUCAGUUUCAUACCUAUCCUGGCAAGAUAAGGUUUUAUAAAUGGGGGAGCCUAGCCUCCAGGAAUGAGCCAAUAUGAAUGGCGUAAAGAAAGUUCUUCUUUGGCAAUUGAAGCCAUAUUGUGAGUUUAUAAAGUAAAUCAACAG
rnacentral:sRNA from 1 species